ACCCGCUGAACUUAAGCAUAUCAAUAAGCGGAGGAAAAGAAACCAACAGGGAUUGCCUUAGUAACGGCGAGUGAAGCGGCAACAGCUCAAAUUUGAAAUCUGGCCUCUUUGGGGUCCGAGUUGUAAUUUGCAGAGGGCGCUUUGGCGUUGGCAGCGGUCCAAGUUCCUUGGAACAGGACGUCACAGAGGGUGAGAAUCCCGUACGUGGUCGCUAGCCUUCGCCGUGUAAAGCCCCUUCGACGAGUCGAGUUGUUUGGGAAUGCAGCUCUAAAUGGGGGGUAAAUUUCUUCUAAAGCUAAAUACUGGCCAGAGACCGAUAGCGCACAAGUAGAGUGAUCGAAAGAUGAAAAGCACUUUGGAAAGAGAGUCAAACAGCACGUGAAAUUGUUGAAAGGGAAGCGCUUGCAGCCAGACUUGCCUGUAGUUGCUCAUCCGGGCUUUUGCCCGGUGCACUCUUCUGCGGGCAGGCCAGCAUCAGUUUGGGCGGUUGGAUAAAGGUCUCUGUCAUGUACCUCUCUUCGGGGAGGCCUUAUAGGGGAGACGACAUGCAACCAGCCCAGACUGAGGUCCGCGCAUUUGCUAGGAUGCUGGCGUAAUGGCUGU
rnacentral:rRNA from 1 species